ACUCAUAUAGUUGGCAUAUACAUUGUAAUGUUCAUCAGAUUAAGACUCAUGUAGACAUAUACAUUGCAAUGUCCACCAGGUUGAGAAUUUAGAAGAUUAAUAAUUUAACGUAACAAAAUGUCGAGUAAAUAUUUUCACUCAAACUAUAGUUAAAACGGCAUAAUGUAAAGACACAGAGUUAAUUUCUAUACUUAAUAAAUUCAGUAUCUUUUUUCAAUAUUCUGUAAUACAAAUUUUACAGGGCAUAUUUUGAAAUAUAAAUAUUCAAGUAGUCAAUUCUGAACUGUCUAUCUUGUACAGUUUUCACGUAAAAAAUUCGCAAAUGAAUUUUCACGUGUCCAAUGUUCUUAAAUAUUUAAGAGAAAUGAUGUUACACAACAAUGUAUGCACAAUAUAAAAUUUCGACCACCACGACUAUAUACUAUAAUCAUCGAAGCUACCAAAAAUCGUCAUCAAACGAUUCCCCGUACUUCUCAACAAACUCCAUCAAAAUAUUUCAACAGUUUGAGAAAUUUUCGUGUACUUUCUCAGUUAGAACAAAACAACUCUCAACUUGGCUUUGCACAAAUUCAAUCGUCGUGUGUUUUGCCUUCGAAACCCGUCGAAAACUUUUCAGAAGUUCUACGAUUCUAAUCGAAUUCGUUAACAAAUGAAUGAAAACAUACACUGUACCAAUGUCGAAGGAAAAGAUGACUGGCUUGGAUAAACUAGCCCAAAGUACCCCAAGCGCAAUUAGCUCGAGCACUAAAUGGAGUAUGUUGUGGUCGAUUGAGGCAGUUGUUACGCUCGAAUUUUUAAUAAUACCGAGGACCCACGCAGAUUUUAUUGGGAGGUAAGAAAUAACUGCUUGAAAUAAGGAGAGGUUGUUUCAAAGGUUAUGGUAAUUUAAUUUUGAAGGUGGUUUAGGUUAGGUCUGUAAAAAUAGUGAAGAGAUGGCAAAUUUUUUUUAAAUAAAUGUCCAUGGGCGUAUCUUUCAAGAUAGAUAUUAGUUAAAAUUUUAUUUUAUUAAAAUAAAAUUAUAAAUAUUAUUUGUUUUAUUAAAUAAAACAAAUAAUAUAAACAAAUUUGUUUGAAAUAUUAAUUCUUUUUGUACAUAAAUAGUACAUACUCUUCUUUUUGUUAUUGUGUAUUAUUAUAUAUUCCUAAAGAAAUAGAAUUCGGAAAGCUGCGCACCGUUUUCAGCUUGAUACGCCCAUGGAUCAGUGUUACGUACAAUAAACAAUUAUCAAACUGUCCAUCAUACAAAUUUUCAUUACUGGACUUUAUUAAUACUGUCAGAGUGUCUCAGAAUGUACAGCAGGUUUUGAAAUUUUGAUUUGUUUAUGAAUACCCGCAACAUGUUACAUUUUCGAAAAGAAAAAUCAAGCGAACUUGCUUUUCAGCGUGUGGCGAGCACGUGAACUAAUAGCGCUAGUAGGUAGAGAAUAACGUUGCUCAAGCCUGAUUGGUCGCCGGCAUUUUUCAGCUAAUUUAGAGGUUUAUUCUUGUAAGUAAAACAAGUCAUAACACUCGAAGCUUUUGGGCCACGGAAUUUUAGUAGUUCUAAUAUAAAUUAUCAAAAAUUACGACACAUCGUAAUGCGUUCAAAAGUCUCGAGUAUAAAUGAGUAAUUUUAGGUUAUGGUUAGCCUAGUGGCUAGAACGUUUAAUUCACUCUCUUAUAUAAUGCAAAUUAUUAGUGUAAAUUUAUAUAAAUAUAGAAAGCAUAUAUCCAUAACCUGGAAAAAAUGUUUAAACAGAAUGAGAAAUGAUUUAAAAAUACUAUGAAGCGAGUGAAGCGCAGAAUAUACUUUCUGAGACACCCUAACCGCACUUGUAUUAAAUAUUACAGUGUUAAAAGUUACGAAUUAAACAUAGUCACGUGUUGUGAGCGUUCUGUUUUGACAAAAUGAAAGGAUAACACGAAGGGAAAGAAACGAGAGGACAUGUAUUUGGUGGAAUUUGUGGCAACCAGCGCCAUCUUAACAAAAGUCUUGAAAUGAAUAGCGGACGCCAUCUUUGCAAAAGACUUUCACUUGAUGACGGGAAGAGUGUGCUUCCAUGGGCAAAAUUUUAUUCUAGCUUCUAUUCGAUUCGCGCGAAAUUUCAUUUCUAAUUAUACAUUUGAACGAAGAACAAAUCAGACUGAUUAUCUUUUAAGUGUCGAAUUUUUCUUUCUCUAGAUAAGGAUUUUGCUCAUCUUUAUACUUUGGAAAGAAACGAGAGGACUUGUGUUUACUGGAAUUUGUGGCAAGCAGCGCCAUCUUAACGAAAGUCUUGAAAUCAUAGCGGACGCCAUCUUUACAAUAGACUUUCACUCGAUGACUGGAAGAGUGUGCUUACAUGGGCAAAAUUUUAUUCUAGCUUUCUAUUCGAUUGAUAAGAAUUUUGCUCAUCUUUGUACCUUGGAAAAAGUAACCAAACUUUGUCCAAUGGUAACCAAACGUGAAAUAAUGAGGCUCUACUCUUUUCAAAAUCCUCAGGAUUGUUUAGGUGAUCACCAAGAAGGAUCCUUUGUCCUUCUCAAGGUCAAAGCGGUACUCAAGCUUCUGAUCCCGUUCGGAGAACUCUACGAAAAUUGAUGCACAAUAAAAAAUAGAAAAAUAAAUACAGAGGACGUGGUUCCAAAAAGCAGAUCUAUACUUAUAUCUAUAUUAUUAAUUACCAAGCUACGCAAAAACAAAGAAAAAUAAAAUACAGGUGUCUAAUACCUUGCCUAAUACUAAAAUGGAAUGUUUGUUUAGGAAUUGAUCAGGAAUGGUUUUGUUCGACAUUUCGUCCAUGCUGAAAGGGAUCGAAAGAUAGAAGAUCGCCGUUUUGCAUUAAUAAUAGAAAAAAAACAAAUAUGUUUAUGCACGAGCCCUUCAUUAUGAGAGUGGUCCAAAUUUAUUUUACUCUGACGACGAAAAAAAGGUUUAUAAAGUAUUAACUAAAAAAUUAUUUAAUUAGAUUCUUUUUGGUAUCGCAAACGUAGAACCAUAAUGUUGCAAAAAUAUAUACCCUUUUUUAUUCGUCAACUAAACGCAACAGGUUCAUAAAAAAAUACUGCUUCCUUGACAAUUAAACAUUUUUACUUGAACUUUGUACAUUGUUUAUAGAACUUUCAAAAUCAAUUCAAUUUUCUAAUAAAAUGAGCUCGUGCCAUUUUCAUAAUGAACAGGCUUAUGAUACAGUAAACGCUUUCGAUUCUCAUGCUUGAAAAUAUUGUUAUAAAAAUUGGAUUUUUCAUUUAAACCACAAAUUGAUUCCCCCAAUUCAUUUGCGACGUGUUAAUUAAAAAGAACUUGUUUACUUCUGUCUAGAAUAAAAGUAAUUAAAUAGAUCUACG